rnacentral:rRNA from 1 species
GACGAACGCUGGCGGCGCGCCUUACGCAUGCAAGUCGCACGGACCUUCGGGUCAGUGGCGGACGGCUGAGUAACGCGUAGGUAACCUGUCCACUGGUGGGGGACAACUCGCCGAAAGGUGAGCUAAUACCGCAUGUGAUCACCGGGUGAGAUACCUGGUGAUGAAAGCAGCAAUGCGCCAGAGGAGGGGCCUGCGUCCUAUCAGGUAGUUGGUGGGUAACGGCCUACCAAGCCAAUGACGGGUAGCUGGUCUGAGAGGACGACCAGCCAGAAGGGGACUGAGACACGGCCCCUACACCUACGGGUGGCUG